rnacentral:misc_RNA from 1 species
GAUGAAGAACGUAGCGAAAUGCGAUAAGUAAUGUGAAUUGCAGAAUUCAGUGAAUCAUCGAAUCUUUGAACGCACAUUGCGCCCGCCAGUAUUCUGGCGGACAUGCCUGUUCGAGCGUCAUUUCAACCAUCAAGCCCCAGGCUUGUGUUGGGGACCUGCGGCUGCCGCAGGCCCUGAAAACCAGUGGCGGGCUCGCUGUCACACCGGGCGUAGUAGAUUUUAUCUCGCUCAGGGCGUGCUGCGGGUUCCGGCCGUUAAAAAGCCUUUUUUACCCAAGGUUGACCUCGGAUCAGGUAGGAAUACCCGCUGAACUUAAGCAUAUCAAUAAGCGGAGGA